rnacentral:rRNA from 1 species
AGAGUUUGAUCAUGGCUCAGAUUGAACGCUGGCGGCAGGCCUAACACAUGCAAGUCGAGCGGUAACAUUUCUAGCUUGCUAGAAGAUGACGAGCGGCGGACGGGUGAGUAAUGCUUGGGAACAUGCCUUGAGGUGGGGGACAACCGUUGGAAACGACGGCUAAUACCGCAUAAUCUCUACGGAGCAAAGGGGGCUUAGGCUCUCGCCUUUAGAUUGGCCCAAGUGGGAUUAGCUAGUUGGUAAGGUAAUGGCUUACCAACGGCGACGAUCCCUAGCCUGGUUUGAGAG